rnacentral:misc_RNA from 1 species
UCUGUGGUCUACUGGGCUCGCGAUCGGGAUCUCCAGUACCUCAAGUGGCAGAAUUUUUCCCCACUCAAAACUUCAAUUUCCUUCUUCUUCUUGGCUGCCAAGAGCUUCCCCAAGUGAUAUAGUCAAAGUUUAAUGAAAGGGGUUAGGGUUUAGUGGUGGAAACAAAGGAGAAAGGAAGCUUUGGUUGAAAAUCAAUGGAGGUUUGGCUAUGGGAAUUGAGAGUUACGGGUGAACUUUGUAAAAGUGAUGGCUGCUGGAAUUUUAGGAGCUUUUGUUGUGUUUUUAUACAUAUUUUAUUAGUUAAUUUAAGUGUUGACUAAAUGUGAUUGGUGGGUAACUCUUAGAUGACAUCAUAUGAUGUCAAAAUUGACAUUUAUUCUCAUUUUUCUUUUCUCUUCUUCUCUACU